UAGUAUCGGCGAGUGAAGCGGGAAGAGCUCAAAUUUAAAAUCUGGCUUGCUUGCAAGUCCGAGUUGUAGUCUGAAGAAGCGUUUUCCAUGAAAGCUGAGGCACAAGUCCUUUGGAACAGGGCAUCAUAGAGGGUGAGAAUCCCGUCCAUGGUCUCAUGCAUUUCAUUUUGUGAUACGUUUUCUAAGAGUCAGGUUGUUUGGGAAUGCAGCCUAAAAUGGGUGGUAAAUUUCAUCUAAAGCUAAAUAUUGGCGAGAGACCGAUAGCGAACAAGUACCGUGAGGGAAAGAUGAAAAGAACUUUGAAAAGAGAGUUAAAAAGUACGUGAAAUUGUUGAAAGGGAACCGUUUGAAGCCAGUCUUGCUUUCUUGUGAUCAAUCUUAGCUUCGGCUUGGAUGCACUCUCGAGUUAUGCAGGUCAACGUCAGUUUGAGAGGUGGGAAAAAAGUUUGAGGAAUGUGGCCUUCGGGUGUUAUAGCCUCUUACUAAAUACCAUCUCCUGGACUGAGGCUCGCAGCAAAAAUGUGGGUUGGUUUGCUCCUGAGGUGAAUCAUUAUUAAGACAGCUUGCUGACUUAGUUUUGUGGAUCUUCACGGUAGACCAGCUUCUAAUUUGCUUAGGUCGUUGACAUAAUGGCUUUAAAUGACCCGUCUUGAAACACGGACCAAGGAGUCUAACAUAUAUGCGAGUAUUUGGGUGUCAAACCCACAUGCGCAAUGAAAGUGAAAUUAGGUGCCAAACCCGCAAGGGUGGCAGCAUCGGCCGGCUCUAACGUUUCUAACUGACGAGUCUGAGCAGAAGCAUACAUGUUGGGACCCGAAAGAUGGUGAACUAUGCCUGAAUAGGGUGAAGCCAGAGGAAACUCUGGUGGAGGCUCGUAGCGAUUCUGACGUGCAAAUCGAUCGUCAAAUUUGGGUAUAGGGGCGAAAGACU
rnacentral:rRNA from 1 species